rnacentral:misc_RNA from 1 species
UUUCCGUAGGUGAACCUGCGGAAGGAUCAUUCAUAAUAAGUGUUUUAUGGCACUUUUUUAAAUCCAUAUCCACCUUGUGUGCAAUGUCAGGGUUGAUUUUUCUCUCGAGAGGAUCAACCCCAAACAUCAACUAUUUCUCAACUCUUUGUCUGAAAAAUAUUAUGAAUAAAACAAUUCAAAAUACAACUUUCAACAACGGAUCUCUUGGCUCUC